rnacentral:rRNA from 1 species
GACGAGGGGUCCAAGCGUUGUUCGGAAUUAUUGGGCGUAAAGCGGGUGAGUAGGUGGCUCUGUAAGUCAGGAGUGGAAAGCCCCGAGCUUAACUUGGGAAGUGCUUUUGAUACUGCAGAGCUUGAGUGUGGGAGAGGAUCGUGGAAUUCCAGGUGUAGUGGUGAAAUACGUAGAUAUCUGGAGGAACACCGGUGGCGAAGGCGGCGAUCUGGCCCAACA